CUGUGCCUUUAGGCAGAGUCUGUGCGGGGCAUGCAAUGCAAGUGCUUCGGAUGCGCACCCCCUCGCAUGGACAUACACAUUGGCACUGCAGCAACCAAUUUUGUUUCCCUUUUCCUUCUGUGAAUGUGUAUGGGGAGGUAGAUUUUUUUCCCAGGCGGAGGAGCUGGUUCUAUUUGACGAACUGGUGAUUUGAAGAGCCGUGACUAUGCGUCGAUGUCCCGGCUUCUGAGGUGGUGGAACUCUGGCAUGGGCACGCACUGUUGGCGCACUUUUGGUCUCUCGUUUUUCUCAGAUGCUGCCGUAUGCUGAGUUUUGUUUACGUGAUUUUUUUCGCAGAAUAAUUUAAUCAUUCAGAUUCAUGGAUUUUUGUAGCAGGUAAAGUGUCCAGGGUUUGAUGUCCUGAGUUUUCUUGCUUGGGGGUGAGCGUUUUGGGUUUGAAGGAUGGCUCUGAUCCGGCAUUGCGGCUGUGAUGAACAGAGCCGCAAUUUUUUUUGUGUGGAAAUUCUGAAUUGAGAGAUCGUCUUUAUGAUUGUUGCUCUAGAGUGCCAGUACUUCCCUCAUGCGGGCACAUUUUGUCAUGUUGGUGGCUUAUGCAGCCAAUUGUUAUGAGAUGCUUUUAUAGAACAUGUCGUGAGAGAUAUUUAACUGUUUUGAUUUCUAGAAAUUCAAGUAAGCAUAAGUUGAAUGGAAUUGUUGGAUUUCUGCUGUUAAAGGAAGAUACAUUUGUAUGUGGACCUUAACUUUUAACAGCGAUACAUCAGAUCACAAACUGUGGUAGUUGUGGUUUGCAGCAAAUUCGACGAAUGCUAGAACAGGGUCUAGAAUCUUCCCAGCAGUUCAGGCUGUCCUAGCGGGUUAUUUUAAAGAUUAAAUACGUCUUAGAUGUGCUUACAGGUCUUCAUACGGUCAAGGGUGCAUUUUCUUGCAAGAUAAGCAGCAGCAAAUAAAGCUGUUUGGAGUGUGUAUGAUAACGGUGUGACGAGGCAGCUGUGGCAGACUGCUCUCGCCUAAAUGAGAAGGGCGUAACGGGUUGCCCGUCAGCCUAUUCAUGGUAGAGUAUUCACAUGCAUCGAUGCAGAAGUGCUGAAAAAUGCAGAUACCGGACCUUCAGAUACAGUAAUUUCACUUAUUAGAAUUGGGAGGAAAUAUGACAAUAAUAGUGUGAAUGACACAUUCGUUGUAAAGAAGAAAAGAAAAAUCACCAUUAUUUGCUUCUUUCUAACCAUGUACUUCAAAUUCAAGGCAAUUGAACACUUGCAGCUGCCGACUGAAAAAGACAGGGCUUGAUUUCACAGGGCCCUGUUGAUGCAGCUGUGAGUUUGUCCUGCACUUCUACUGGAAUUGGUCACCUCCGCAACUCAAGAAGACUUAUUCAAAGGUUGAGAGGAUAUCCGCAUUUGCUAUAUUUUUUCUGAGCCACGCCUUCAAAGGCAUUUGACAAUGCACAUUGCAUGCCUGACUUGUGUUACUGUCUCAAGAUUUCGUUUUUGAGGGUAUAGGGUAGGUAACUGCAGUUUAUUCAGUACUUUUCAGUCCUACUGGGACAGCUUUUGUGAUAUGUGGAUUAGAGGUUUUGUGUCAUGCUUUCUCGGUUAUGGGAGGAAUGGAUAGUUCAUUAAACGACGAUGCACCUGCGCUGCAGCUCGUCUACAACCAUCUUAAUCAAGGAUCUUUUCCAGAGGUACUAGUAUCAGUGAACAGGUGUACGAUUCGCCAGGCAUUUUUGUCUCUUGAACUAUGUUGGCAUUGCUGAAAAUAUGAUGACACUCGAUUGUUUCUUCACAUCGUAGAAUGCAUGCAGCAUAAUCAAGUUUACAUCUAGAGAGGUAAUUAAGAGGGAUGCAGCUAUCAUUGCCAAGAAACCCAACCCGUAUUACAAGAGCAUUCACAUCCUGAAGCAACUAGGUCGUGAUGGCUGUGUAUAUUAUUCCCAUAUUUGGUUAGCAUAGACUGUCUCAAGAAGCGGUUGAAAGGUUGUUGGCAUUUACUAGAAAUUACUUUAAAAGUGUGACGAGAUUGAUGUGUAGUUUCAAGUCGAGAAUUAAUUAAAUAUAUGUUGACAACUUUGAAGAAGUUUUUUGAUGAAUUUCAUGUAGAUUUCAUUCAUUAAUAAAAUUACGUUUGAACUGUUACUUAUUUUCUUCCAGGAGCAUGAAAGCUUCCUAUGCUGUGGAUAUGGAGGAGCGAAUUGCCCUUACUUAGCUUAUCUACAGCUAUACAAUGUUGUCUGGUCGUGGUUUUAUUUUUUGAACAAACUCUUCCAUCUUUUUAAAUUUUAUCUCCUCAGAAUAAUCUUUAGAAAUUGAUAGGUGCCUCGGAUCCGAAUCGAAUCAUACUGCCGUUGAUUCUUUGAUUGUCGUGUAUUUUUUGCGGGGAGGAAACUUUCAAUUUUGUCCAGGUUUGUUAAGUUUUUGGGGCUCAACUUGAUAGUCAGUAAUUAUUGAUACAGUUUUGAGUUGCGUGGAUCAUGUUUUGUUUACUACUGAGCUGCUCCUUCAUACUUAGCAGGUUGGAGUGGUUGACUCAGCAACGGAUAAAGCACUGAGCUUAUUGGAACGAUUUGCUGAUUAAGCUGUGAAGGGCGGAUCAAUAUAAAUCUUCAACAUAGGGCGCUCUUGAGAAACUUCGCUACAAAUGAUGACAAUGAACGACAGCAACUCUGAACCAGAACACAGAUGGUGGAUUUUGUUCAGGCCUUCACAAACAUGGAGUUUGGGGUAUGGUGCUGAAUUGGGAGCUUUUGUAUUAUUUUGUGGAGCAUUUAUAUCUAGUAUUGGAAGCAGUUUUAAAUAAAUGCUUUCAUAAUGGAACUUUCUUGGUGGUGAUCUCGAGGUUCCGAUCACCUAGCAACUCGUGUUUUGAACAAGCAGUUGACAUUAGAAAAAGCGACCUGGACACGUGUCACAUUUCUCCAAAGUGGUCCCUUUGGAGAGCAAUAUUUAACUGCAGAUCGUCGGAUGUUGUCGACUUCAAAUAUGUUCAAUUGUUUGAUGGGGGUCUCUUGAACAUUAAAUUUUCAACACUGGAGAUUUGCAUCCGUCCUGCGGUUUCACUAAAGAGAUAACUUUAGAAGCAUUGUUAUCAACUAUAAAAUAUUAUAGUCUCUUCGGCACCACAAGUAACACUUCAAAAAUAAUCUGAACAUAAAUGGCUCCUUUCGAAGGUGUUGUAUAGUCGAUUUGUGAAAUUUCUCACAUUCGAUAUUUGAGAAGUUGGUAGGCCUGCAAAUUCUGCAUGGUUGAAGUCGAACAUAAACCAAAAUGUAAAUGUUAUCACUGCUGUUUUCUCUAUAUGCGUUCAUCCAACUGGAAUAAUUAAUUUUGCAUGAACUAUCAUGA